rnacentral:rRNA from 1 species
UGAGGGAAUAUUUGGGGUCAAUGGGCGGGAGCCUGAACCAGCCAAGUCGCGUGAGGGAGGAAGGUCCUACGGAUUGUAAACCUCUUUAGCCGGGGAGCAACGUGCGCCACGCGUGGCGCAGUGAGAGUACCCGGAGAAUAAGCAUCGGCUAACUCCGUGCCAGCAGCCGCGGUAAUACGGAGGAUGCGAGCGUUAUCCGGAUUUUAUUGGGUUUAAAGGGUGCGUAGGCGGAAGUGCAAGUCAGCGGUGAAAUCCCCGCGCUCAACGCGGGAGUUGCCGUUGAUACUGUACAUCUGGAGUGCUCUUGCCGUGGGAGGAAUGAGUAGUGUAGCGGUGAAAUGCAUAGAUAUUACUCAGAACACCGAUUGCGAAGGCAUCUC